rnacentral:rRNA from 1 species
UACAGAGGUCUCAAGCGUUGUUCGGAUUCAUUGGGCGUAAAGCGCGCGUAGGCGGCUACUUAAGUCGGAUGUGAAAGCCCCUGGCUCAACUGGGGAAGUGCACCCGAAACUGAGCAGCUAGAGUACGAAAGAGGGUCGCGGAAUUCCCGGUGUAGAGGUGAAAUUCGUAGAUAUCGGGAGGAACACCGGUGGCGAAGGCGGCGACCUGGGUCGAUACUGACGCUGAGGCGCGAAAGCGUGGGGAGCGAACAGG